CGAGCAUAGUGAUGAUUGUUUUAUUCCGAUAUUAUUCAUGAAUGGAAUUUCAAACCUCCUACUCAUUCUGA